GUUUCAUCAAUCAUGUUAGCCAGUUCCUUUUCUAAUUCCCACUGCUCUGGGUCUGGGUGCAUCUGUAUAUUGUUUUGUGACUCAGGUGGUGAAUCACU